GAUAUAGUUCCCUGUGCCAUACAGCAUGAUCCCAUUGCCUAUCCACUCCAAACGCAAGCAUAAUAACACAUCAGUGAUCUAUAAAGCUUCUCCCACCUCAGAAGUUUCCAUCAUUCUACCCGACUCAGAAAGAUCCAACCUCGGAGGCUUUACAAAGAAGCUUGUACAAUCAGUAGUUGAUAUACAAUAAGAAUUGAUAUUCACUUGAGUGCUUACCGUGGGCCAGUCGCUGUAGCUAUUAACUCAUUUAAUCUUUAUAUCAACCCCCAAAUUGUAGAUAUUCUUUUUAAUUCCUGUUUUACAAAUGGUGACAUUGAGGCUUAGAUGGAUUAAUUAAUUUGCUCAAAGUAUAGGGCAGCUAGAAGUAACCCCAUUGUCUUGAUGGCAGUGGAAGCCCUUGACCUGUUUUAUAUGUUCAUUCUGCGGAAUGAACUCUUCUGUUUCAUUUUAUUACACAUAUUCCAUUGAACAUCCAGUUAAAAGGUGCUAUGAAAAAUUAAUAUCAAAAGAAGGAUAGUUCCAAAAGCAAAAUUGUUGGAAAAGGGUAUGUUUCUCAGAGCAUGAUUUGUGGACUACUUGUAGUAUCAUUUAUUUAACACAGGCAAUGAAUUUGGUUUAGUCACCACUACAUUCCCAGAGCCUAGAAGAGAGUUAGACAUCAAUAAAUUCAUACUGAAUGAAUAAAUCUGUAGGGAUGGGGUUUAGGAAUAUGUAUUUUAACAAGCACCCGAAAUUUGAGACUCACUGCCCUAGUAGAUCUCUCAAAUACUUUCUAGGUCUGACAUUUUAUCAGAUUUUUGACAUUAAAUUAUCCCUUGAAUACCAUUUUUCUAGUAAGCUUAUUUUUUCAUUCAGUCUCUUUAGCUUCCUCUAAUCUUAAAGAGGGGGGACUCAUUAGGGGGUGAUUUCUCUAGGAAAUUCCCUCUUUUCCUUAGAGUUCUGCUAUGCUAUUUCAGUCUCAAAGUGGACUGAAAUGCAUUCUCUCAUUUUCACAGUUCUGUCCUUUUCAUCAAUGUCUUAAAAGAUUAAAAGAAGUAAGGCAGUUGUAAGCUGUCAUUCCUUCCAAAUACAACGUCCUAAAAAAUGGCUCCUUCCUUGCAAGGAACACAGACAUCUACCUUGUGGGUUUAGACUGUUUAUUUUGCAGGCUUUUGAACUGAACGCUUCAGAAGCCUGGACUAGUAUCAUUUCAAAAGGGUUGCACCAAUCGUUUUCAUCUGUGCAUUUUUUUCUCAAAAAAACAGUCUGUCAGUUAAAGUUGAAUGACAGAGUGAAAUGUGCAGAUAUCUAUUACAGAGAUAUAUUUCUGGUUUGUUCACUUGUUCAUUUGCUUAAACUUUCUUUUUCCCAAAAGAUUAUGCAUUGAAGCAUAUACCAUUCAAUCUAAAUGUAUUCGUUUUGCUACAUGGUUUUCUGAUCAAGCAGGUUUUUUUUAAAUGGAAGCAUAAUUUUUAUGAUAUCAAAAUGGAGGUGAUCUCUUAACAUUGCUGUAAAAGUUAAUCUGUCAGCAUGUUUCCUUAAAAUGAGUCAAAUUAAAUUGUUGAUAUGAUUGAACAAAUCAGUCCUUAUACUAGUUAAAGAGGCUUUUCUGAUGACCCACCCCACCCCCUUUACUGCGUGAACUUCUCUCUGGUUUUUAUUGUAUUUUCCUGAUCCUUCCAUUUUUUCUUUGGCAAGCAGUAUUUAAAUACCAUUUGCUCAUUCAUGAAUCAAAUAUGGCUGCCAUCGCAUCACCUUUUGUCCAUAGAAUGUACAGAGGGAACAUGAGAUAGGAGUGCAAUGUUUAAGUCUCCAAAUAUUAAAAACAAACAACAAACCCACUAGCAUUUCUCUUGCUUUGAUGUUCUGGCAUCUUCUUUAGGCCAGAGCUGCAUUUGUAAUACCUAACUGAAUCCAAAUGUCCUUGAAAGAAUGUCAAAUUUGAGAGUCUAUUGAGUUGACCAGCGCCAGACCUCUCGAUUAUCCCUCAGGUUUAAUAUCUGAUUUCUACCCAAAAUGAGUAUUUCUAGGAGAGAAAGUCACAUCCUUGUUCACAUUCACCAUGGGUGUGAUCAGUUCUUCUCCAAAUUCCAUUUUUCCUUUGAUUUAUUGCUAAUUGUCUCCUUCUAUCCCUAGGGUAGCACGUUGCCUGUUUUAAAUACAUCUUUAACCUUAUAAGAAAAGAUGUUUUGGAAGUUCUCUGUGGCACAGCAGGUUAAGGAUCUGGUGUUGCUGAAGUUGUAACUGAGGCUCGGGUUUGAUCCCUGACCCAGGAAGUUCCACCUGCUUUGAGUGUGGCCAAAAAAAAAAACACAAAACAAAAGAUGUUCCAAUGAAAAGCAAAUAUAUGUUUAUGUGUCCCUUAAUUGGUGAAUGAAAAUAAGUAAAGGAUACUUCUACUGCAUUCACCUGUAUUCCAGUCUUUUCCAAGUCAUGUUCAGGACCACUGGUUCUGGGAAAUAUUCACUGCGAUCUGAGACCAAAUGAUCCUACCCAUGCUCCCCACUUCUUGGGCAUUGACAAUAAAUGUUAGCAUUUUAAUGAAACUGAAGAAGCUUUUGGAUCAGGAAAACAUUUUUUUUCUAAACACACCUCGAAGAAACUUAAGAAAAGUUUUCUUUUAACACAGUUUACAUAGCUUUCAGCGACUUCAGACAAUAUAACCAGGAAUGCUUUGGAAAGAUGCUUCUGGGUUUUUGUUUGAACUCUAAGAGGAAUAUCUGCCACUUUAAAUAAACUAGUAUCUACUUUAAAUGUCAUUAGUAUAUCUUAAUGAAUUUAACUUAAUCACCUAAAAUAUUCAAAACAAAACAAUGACAUUGUUUUAAUAUUUUAAUAUUUAUUUUUAAGAUCUGCACCUAUGACCAGCACAUCAGGCUGCUAUCUGUGGCAGAUGGUCGAAAUUCUUUGCAGAAUGGAAUUAAUACUAGUGAACAAUCUUUAUAAUACUUUGAACAUUUUAAGAAAUUGAAUCAUGAUAGACUGAUGCUGACACUUUUUUUACAUAAUCUUGUUAGAAAGUACACUUUAAAAUUCAGUUAAAUCUGAGAGAAACGCACUGUUUGGAUUAGAUUUUGAAGGUUUUACUCUAUUAAUGAGCAUCAGAUAGUUCUUUUUUGCUUUGCUUUAUUUUGCAAAUCAAUCUUUUUAUAAAAAACAAAUAAAUCAGCAAAGUUUUUGUAAAAAUUCCUGGGUAGGAGUUCCUGUUGUGGCUUAGUGGUAACAAACCCAACUAGUAUCCAUGAGGACACAGGUUCAAUCCCUGGCCCUACUCGAUGGGUUAAGGAUCUGGCAUUGCCGUGAGCUGUGGUGCAGGUUGCAGACACGGCACAGAUCCCCUGUUGCUUAUGGCUGUGGUGUAGGUCGGCAGCUGUAGCUCCAAUUCGACCCCUAGCCUGAGAAUUUCCAUGUGCCAUGGGUGGGGCCCUAAAAAGAAAAACAUAAAUAAAUAAAUAAAUAAAUAUUCCUGGGUAAACUGUCUGUUAUCAGAUAGAAAAGAAUAAAGCUGAAUCACUGUACAUUUCCCUAAAUAUAGUUCAAUUUUUAGUUCAUUCAUAGUUUGUGAAUCAGUUGAUGGAUAACAAGCCAUUUAUCAUUUUAGAUUAUUCCAUUGAAUGAGUACAGCCUGCAAACAUUAACUCCAUGUCACUUAUUCAGUAUUAUUCCAUUGGCAUUUUCUUUUCUUUUUUGGCAAAACAAAUUUUUAAUGUUAUUCACACAUCGUUACCCUAAAAAAAUUUUUUUCUUUUUAGGGCCACACUUGUAGCAUAUGGAAGUUCCCAGACUAGGGGUUGAAUCAAAACUGCAGCUGCCAGCCUACACCGUGGAAAUGCAGGAGCUGAGCCACGUCUGAGACCCACACCACAGCUCACUCCAACACUGGAUCCUUAACCCAAUGAGUGAGGCCAGAGAUUGAACCCACCUCCUCAUGGAUACUAGUUGGGCUCAUAACCCGCUGAGCCACAAUGAGAACUCCUAAGAUAUUGUAAAUAACACACCUAACGACUACCACUAGGAUUAUCUUCCCAAAGUCCAAAGUUGUUUCUUUUCCUUAUGAGAUGCUAGGAUGAUCAAUUUGAUAGCUGUGAUUUUUCAGGUCAGUAUUUAGUUCUUGCUUUGUUAAAUGGAUAUGCAUGAGAGGGACUGACUCCCGUUUGAUCUCUUUCUCUGUGGAAACAUUGCCACCGAAUAAUUAAGUGUUCUUUAAAAAGUCAAGUGUUGGUAUGAUGAUAUGUUAAUCUAUGAGCAGGGCUUAUGACAGGCCAAGCAGUCAUUUAUAGAAUUGGCUUUUUAAACUGUAAGAAUAGCGUUGGGUUUCAAUAUUCAAAAAAAAUUUUUUUUCACUUUGUAUAGGGAAAGAUCUGUAUGAAAGAGACGAUCAAAAUUUAAUCUUCAUCCCUCCUAAGUGGCAGUGUAAGGCAUUGUGGGUUUCAGUUUUUGUUUUUUUGUUUUUUGGGGUUUUUUUGCACUUUAACAAGGAGAGAAACUAGGAAAAGAAGUUCAGAGAAAUUUUGCUGUGUUUCUAAAGGUAAUAAAAUUCAGCCAAUUGUCUUUCUUUAGGAAAAUGCUAUUAAUGUAUACUUUGAGUUGGUAGCACCUUUUAUUUAGAGUUGUCCAUGAUCUUUGUAGCAAAAAAGAAACAAUGUCUUUUUGACCUGGGGUGGAGUACAUAUUUUCACAAAAUAUAUUGAGCAUUAAAUAUUUAUAAAAAGAAUUGUGGACGAAAAUACUCGAGUACACUUUUAAAAAUUAGUUAAAAUGUUGAUGGCUGGCUCUUUUUCCUACAUGUGUAAUUCAACAGAGAAUCCUUUAUUCUCAUAGCCAUUAUUGCUUUGUCUGUGAUGAAAUCUUUACUGCUUCUGUGCUGUGCUCAAGAAAAAACCAGCAAAAGAAGCAAGGGCCUGUUCCUUCACAGAACUGCCCAAAGCUCUCUGUUGAGCAAUGGUGAGAUGAAUGUGUAAUAUUGAUUCAGUAAAGAAAAUCAUGAGAACAUUUUAAUGUUACUUGCCUUAUAGGUUAGAAAAGGUGUAUAUAUCUUUUUUUGGUAAAUAAUGAUUUUUUUACAAAUGUUUUUUUCCUUCAUAAUUUUCCCAAUCACCCAUUUCACAAAAUCCUGAAUAUGCAAUUAUUUACCGUGGCACAUUACUGCAACUAGGGUUCCCAUUUCUGGACAAAGUUUAAUUAUAUGUGAGAACAAGAUGAAAUAUCUAAGUUGUUAUUUAAAUGUGAUUUUUUUUUCCUGGAAAAUAAAUGAAAAA
rnacentral:lncRNA from 1 species